CUAGCGGGCGCGAUUCGCCCUUUUCCGGUUGAUCCUGCCGGAGGUCACUGCUAUUGGGAUUCGACUAAGCCAUGCGAGUCGUGAGGGUUCGGCCCUCGGCUGACGGCUCAGUAACACGCGGAUAAUCUGCCCUUGGGUGGAGGAUAAUCUCGGGAAACUGAGAAUAAUACUCCAUAAGUCUAGGAUGCUGGAAUGCACUUAGACUAAAAACUUCGGUGCCCAAGGAUGAGUCUGCGGACUAUCAGGUUGUAGUUAGGGUAACGACCUGACUAGCCUACGACGGAUACGGGUUGUGAGAGCAAUAACCCGGAGAUGAUAUCUGAGACACGAUAUCAGGCCCUACGGGGCGCAGCAGGCGCGAAAACUUCGCAAUGUGCGAAAGCACGACGAGGGAAUCCCAAGUGCUGGCUCGUUAGAGUCAGCUGUUUUUAUGUCUAAAAAGCAUUAAGAGUAAGAGCUGGGUAAGACGGGUGCCAGCCGCCGCGGUAAUACCUGCAGCUCAAGUGGUGGCCGCUAUUAUUGGGCCUAAAACGUCCGUAGCCGGUUUAUUAAAUGCCUAGGUAAAUUGUGUGGCUUAACCAUACGAAUUCUGGGUAGACUGGUAAACUUGAAACCGGGAGAAGCUAGAGGUACUUCUGGGGUAGAGGUGA
rnacentral:rRNA from 1 species